rnacentral:misc_RNA from 1 species
GCGUAGGUUGUCGAAUCGUUAAGACGCCGGUCUUCGAAUCGCUCCGCGGGACCCUCCACGUAACGGUGGUCCGGAAACGCGGAGACCGAGGCGAAGUAAACCCUUUGACUAUGAGUACCCCAGUACGUUCCCUCGGCGGGCGCAAGCCCGCCGGCGGACCCCCCCCAACCCUUUGCAGUGGCAGUAACCUCUGAUCGUGGGAUUUGAAUCUUUA